rnacentral:rRNA from 1 species
UACGUAGGCAGCGAGCGUUGCUCGGAAUUACUGGGCGUAAAGGGUUCGUAGGCGGUGUGGCAAGUCGGAAGUGAAAUCUCCAGGCUUAACUUGGAGGCUGCUCCCGAAACUGCCAUGCUAGAGUGCGGGAGAGGCGAGUGGAAUUGCAGGUGUAGCGGUGAAAUGCGUAGAUAUCUGCAGGAACACCCGUGGCGAAGGCGGCUCGCUGGACCGCAACUGACGCUGAGGAACGAAAGCUAGGGGAGCAAACAGG